CAGCCGCCGCGGGAAUACGUAGGGCGCAAGCGUUGUCCGGAAUUAUUGGGCGUAAAGAGCUCGUAGGCGGUCUGUCGCGUCUGGUGUGAAAUCCCGAGGCUCAACCUCGGGCUUGCAUCGGGUACGGGCAGACUAGAGUGCGGUAGGGGAGACUGGAAUUCCUGGUGUAGCGGUGGAAUGCGCAGAUAUCAGGAGGAACACCGAUGGCGAAGGCAGGUCUCUGGGCCGCAACUGACGCUGAGGAGCGAAAGCAUGGGGAGCGAACAGGAUUAGAUACCCCUGUAGUCCCUGUCUCUUAUAC
rnacentral:rRNA from 1 species